CUGAUUUAUUUGUCAGUUUUAUUUCGUGCUAAAAGUGUCAAAGAGAAUAUUUAUAAAACUUUAUUAACACUAAGUACUUACACUCGCACACACACACACGCAUACAGUGGGAGAGAAACAUAAACAACGUAGCACAUUUGAAAUGACCAUAAAACACAAACAAAACAGUAGCCAAGAACAACAAUAACAGAGACGAGAGGAACGUGGCAAGUUGAAUGUCCUGCAGCGAGAGGCUUCUUUGGCCCAGCAAAAUUUCAAGUGUUUCGACAACAACAACAGCAACAGCAGCAGAAGUUGUUGCGGGUGCGUGGCGACUGUGAAGGAAGUGAGUGAAGGAAAAAAAAAACUGGCACAAAGUGCACAAAACGUACUUAGAACAUCUUUAAGUUCAACAUAAAAAACUUGACCAAACAUAAAUCCCAACAUCACAAAAACAAACGCAGCACACUUAGCUCGCAGGCAUAGCAACAGCUCGAACUGGAGACCAUAUUAAGACUGAUUUUGGCCGCUGGGCAGUUGGCCAGCAUAUUUAGGCGAUUAUUUAUGGCCAAUGGCGACGACGAGGAAUUCGACACUCGGCGCGACUUGCUGGCAAUCGCACAGACACAAAUACGGAUGGCUGGGUACGAGUAUGAGACUGUGUGUGUGUGUGUGUGUGGGUGUGGGUGUAGGCGGCAGCAAACAAGCGCAAACAUGAGCAGAUCGAGCUGUACCACUUGCCAACUGUCUGCUGUUUAUUGACGGCACAGCAACAACAACAACAAGAAUAACAAUAACAACAACAGCUAUAGCAGGAACUUUAGCAGCCAAACAACCGACAAAAAUGACAGUGAGCGACCCAAAACGGCAGCCAAGCCUCUGGACUGCCAAAUGGGAUCUACUUACAGAGCCAGCUAUCGCCAAAAUCCCAAACCCCAAGUUUUGUCCACUGGCACGACAAGUGGCAAGUGCUUGCAGCAGCAACGGCAACGGCAGCAGCAGCAGCAGCAGUUCACAUGUUACAUAACACACAGUGGAGCAAAAAAUAAAAAUAAACUGAAAACAGAAAACGAAAA